CCUACGGGAGGCAGCAGUGAGGAAUAUUGGUCAAUGGGCGCGAGCCUGAACCAGCCAAGUCGCGUGAGGGAUGACGGUCCUACGGAUUGUAAACCUCUUUUGCCGGGGAGCAAGCGUGCGUUCGUGAACGCGCGUCGAGAGUACCCGGAGAAAAAGCAUCGGCUAACUCCGUGCCAGCAGCCGCGGUAAUACGGAGGAUCCGAGCGUUAUCCGGAUUUAUUGGGUUUAAAGGGUGCGUAGGCGGUUUGAUAAGUUAGAGGUGAAAUGUCGGGGCUCAACCCCGAAACUGCCUCUAAUACUGUUGGACUAGAGAAUAGUUGCGGUAGGCGGAAUGUAUGGUGUAGCGGUGAAAUGCUUAGAGAUCAUACAGAACACCGAUUGCGAAGGCAGCUUACCAAACUAUAUCUGACGUUGAGGCACGAAAGCGUGGGUAGCAAACAGGAUUAGAUACCCUUGUAGUC
rnacentral:rRNA from 1 species